ACAUGCUUACAUCAUAGCAUUAAUGCACCAGAUCCUAUUAUAAAUAUAUAGUUAAGCGUGCUUGGGCUAGAGUACUAUUGGGAUGGGUAACCGCCCGAGAAAUCCUAUUAUUUUACAUGCC
rnacentral:rRNA from 1 species